rnacentral:rRNA from 1 species
CCUACGGGUGGCAGCAGUGGGGAAUAUUGCACAAUGGGGGAAACCCUGAUGCAGCAACGCCGCGUGGGUGAAGGAGCGUUUCGGCGCGUAAAGCCCUGUCAGCGGGGAAGAAGAAAGACGGUACCCGACCAAGAAGCCCCGGCUAACUACGUGCCAGCAGCCGCGGUAAUACGUAGGGGGCGAGCGUUAUCCGGAAUUACUGGGUGUAAAGGGAGCGUAGACGGCGAGGUAAGCCUGAAGUGGAAGCCCGCGGCCCAACCGCGGAACUGCUUUGGGAACUGUUUUGCUGGAGUAUGGGAGGGGUAAGCGGAAUUCCUGGUGUAGCGGUGAAAUGCGUAGAUAUUUGGAAGAACACCGAUGGCGAAGGCAGCCCCCUGGGACGCAACUGACGCUCAUACACGAAAGCGUGGGGAGCAAACAGGAUUAGAUACCCUUGUAGUC